UGUCGAUGUCGUAAUGCACAACUGAAGCUAUAAGCUAUUUCCUAGUGGGAUAAAAGUGCAGAGAAUAGUUAUAUAAGAAUGCAUAUAGAUUUGACAAGUGCAUAGAAAAACAUAAGGUCCAAAAGAAACACAUAAUCAAGCAACCACAUAAUCGGUUAACUUCUAUUUACUCACCAAUCAAAUAACAUCAAAAUCAACACAUUAGCAUUGGACCUCGACACAACACACAAGGGGUGCAAAAGAGACUGACUGAGAUCAUAAAGAAAUCUCUACUCCUAUAAAAGACUCAGUUGGUGAUGAUGGUGUGUCUGUCAUCCGUCAUUUCUGACCAUUAGAUCUGCACCUAACGGCUGUGAGGUAAGUUGUGGAAUUUUUGCAACAAUAGCCCACUUCUCUGCUCCAAUUUGCAGAAAAUCCCUUAUUAUCUUAUAAGCAACCACAUCCCUCCCUCACCUCAUCAAAACAGCCUGAGAAAUAUAUUUUGAGUGAAAAGUAAUAUAUCUUUAGUGGUAUAUAUGUAUAUCAAAACAAGAGUGUUUUCUUUCAAGUUUGUGAACAAGUACUAUUCUACUUUGGAUCCGUUGCAACGCACGGGCACAUUGCUAGUAUAUAAGAAGGACCAAGAUAAUCAUAUUUCAGUCCAGACAUAUACAAGGACAUAUCAUAAGACACAUACAAAGUAGCAACAAACUGAUAAUAUAGUUUCUAGAAUCAUCUGCAAAGAGAAUGAUGAAUUUACAAUCUUUAGUCUUAGCCAACACAACAUACAACCUUUACAACCUUAAAAUAUAAUAAUUUAAGCUUUGACCAAAGUUUUAUACAGAAGUAGGUAGUCCAAAAAGCUUCAGGCUAUUUUCUGUAACACCAUUAAUUUCUGGCUGCAAAUGCAAAGCUGAAGAAGAAGAAAACUAAAACUUG
rnacentral:lncRNA from 1 species